UGGUGUGGCCUGCAAAGCCUAAAAUGUUUACUAUCUGCCCUCUGUUGAAGAAGUUUACUGACUCUGGUUCCAGAACAAUAGGGCCAUCAGCUGUAGCAGAGGUCAUUGCUACGCAUCCUCUCAGGCCCUCUCUCUACGUGCUGAAGGCGGUUUGCUGUGAAUACUUGGGUUCUCGGCUUGAAGGCUAUUUUCCUGGUUGUGUGAGGAUGUUUGAUCGCUGCCCGUUGGAAAGUGGCUCAAGUCCUGCUCCUCUACUGCCAAGCAUCCUGAGAUCACCUCCCAGGCAAACUACUUGCAUUAGCAUCUUUGCCUAAAGGACUGCGUAUGGAAACCCCAGACUGUGACAACAGGAAAGGCAUCUUAAAGGGGUUACUCCGACAGGAAAAUCAGAUCCAUCAUUUCGCAUUAGAUUGAAAACAACAUGUCACUCAUUCUAUUUCAUGUGCACAUUCGAUUUCUUACCCAUAGACCAGUGUCUCCUGGACUCUUACUCGCCAUUUUGAGUGGUCAGGCAUCAUUACCUCCAUAUGUGUACAAGGAAAGAAAAGCCACACGGAGACUUGAACAUACGCGAGGUCAGAGGGAGAAUAGGGCUGCUGUCAAUUUAAGGUGGGAUGCCACCCCUGCAUGGCUUGAUGAGCAGUGUGUAGGUCUGCGCCGAGGAUUUGACCCCGCAAAACCCAGGCUGCCAAAGCGGAGUGCACAAACUUAACCACUACGCCACUGGGCUGGCCCCUGUUUCAAGGUGUGAAACACUGACUUAAACAGCAUAUCUCCAAGCCCCAAGGAGGCCGGCUGUGCUUGGGUAACCCUGCCCAGAGGAAACCCGGACACGCUGCUGAGGAGGGCUUCUGGAGCCCAAAGGCUCAGCACAGAGCCUGGGAUUCUGCUAAAAGUCUCCUCUCCCUACAUUUCUGUGAAGAAUUUCCUUUUCCCACUAGUUUCAUAUGUAAUGUGGAAUUGCCUGUCAUUCAGAAAAACUUAAAAAAUAGAGCGUGGUGACAUCUGGCACAGAUCACACUUCUUUGUGAUUUGAUGAAAAAUUCAUGGUCUAUUAUAAUGUAAGACUUAUGCAUUGGAACUAUUAUAUCUCUAACAUAGGAUUCUGUGCUUUCAGCCCACAAUGCCGAAAGUACUCAAUUGUCACUUCUUCACAGAUUCAAUGGAAUAAGUAGAGAAAAUACAGCUCAGGGUAAUGAGGGGACGCUGCCACCACAGAUGAUGGUGUCAAUCCCUCUAUAAUCAACAGAUCUUCAUGUCACUUAUUCUAAACGUUAAAGAGGCCAACUAACAAAGAGUUCAUUAACAUUGUGCUCAAGUGAACAAAUACUCUGACCCAUUCACUGAUCUUCAAUGUCAUACCCCUUGUUUCAGUCAUGGUCCCAUCAGGAAAACAGAACUCAUAACAGUUGCUUUAACAGAGUGAAUUUAAUAUAAGGAAUUGGUUAAACUGGUGUUGGAGGAUGAAAAACAGGUAAAGACAACACGGAGGUAUCUCAGAGACAGCAACUGCUGGAAGCAGCCACUACCCCUAGGGCUUGGUGGGAAGAGGUUGGGGUUAUCUGAACCUAGAAGAUGGAAGGAAGGUCCCUGUGGGGCUGCAACCCAGAUCUGUGACUGGGAUUCUGAUCUGAUGUGAUGCUUCUGACAUGGCUGAGCAAGUGCAAUAAGGCUGGUCUGAUGUAGGACAAGAGCAGGAACUGGAACCAACUGCUAGGGCCAGAGGGAAGAGCCAUUGCUGGCGAGACGCUAACAGGAGCCACAAUAACCAAGAGGGAGCUCAGCUUGCUCCCUCCUCCAGGCUUGCUGUGUCCUUCUAGUGUUCCCUCAUGGCAGAGCCUAACAGGGAGCAGCUGGCACAGCAGAAAUGGAGAAGAGUGAGUUUGGGGCUGAGAGACAAUAGCUUAAUAAUUGGCACACUUCCCCUUGUUCUUCUGAGCAGAUAUCUCUGGUGUCCCUUGUUUUCCAUGAAAAGUAGGGGCUGUGAUGGAUGUCUGGAUAUGCUCAGCUCUGAAAGGCAGCCCCUAAUUUGGACGUGUUAAGGAACGAGGCUGGCAUGGCAUUUCCCAGUUCCU
ensembl:lncRNA